GAGCCUUUAGACUACUUAAAGGCAGUAUUUAGAAUGGCAUUUCAUGCCUAAACGAGUGGGAAUGUUGAAAGAUAAACUGUUUUCAUUGCUGUUUGUUUGGUCUGAAUCAUCUGGGAAACAUGCUAAUUCUACUUUUUCCCCAGCUAUUACCCCUGUAUGCACACAAGUUGAACCUAACGGCAUUAAAAGAAAAGGACAAGCUGUGAAAUGCCUAGAUUCCAGAGCAACAGACUGUGAUCCAUUCCCAACAACCCCUCCCUACCGUCUGCCACCAGUUCCCUUAAAGCAGGAAUCAGAGCUAGACUGACUCAACUAAGAAUUGUUUUGGAGAACUUGGAACUCAACAUUCCAUAAAGCAAGAAGCUUGACAUAGCAUCGAUGAGCCCAAGUCAACUAUAUGAACAAAACAAUGUCUCAGGAGGGGCAGGGUAUCACGUCAGAAGAAUCCUGAGUCCUUAGAUGACCUUGUAGAAAAGAGCCACAAACUUACUCUGGGCUACCUUCAUACCUCUGAACUAUUAUGCAGAGAGAAAUAAAUGUAUUCAAAUCACUGUU
rnacentral:lncRNA from 1 species